rfam:Oryza sativa Japonica Group DNA, chromosome 11, cultivar: Nipponbare, complete sequence.
AAAAAGAAAAAACCUGGUUUCCGUGUCCAACGUUUGACCGUCCGUCUUAUUUGAAAAAAUUAUGAAAAAAAUAAAAGACAAGUCACGCAUAAAAUAUUAAUCAUAUUUUAUCAUCUAACAACAAUGAAAAUACAAAUUAUAAAAAAAUUUCAUAUAAGACGGACAGUUAAAGUUGGACAUGAAAACCUAUAGUUUGUCUUUUU